UGUGGUCUAUGGAAGUAAAAUUUGUUAUCGCUGCUAACGAUGAUUUAGGAUUAUAU
rnacentral:tRNA from 1 species